AAUGAACGCUGGCGGCGCGCCUAAUACAUGCAAGUCGAGCGAGAAGACGUAGCAAUACGUUUGUAAAGCGGCGAACGGGUGAGGAAUACAUGGGUAACCUACCCUCGAGUGGGGAAUAACUAGCCGAAAGGUUAGCUAAUACCGCGUACGCUUCUUGGACUUCGGUUCAGGGAGGAAAGCGAUGCCGAGGGUAUCGCGCUCUUGGAUGGGCUCAUGUCCUAUCAGCUUGUUGGNGAGGUAACGGCUCACCAAGGCUUCGACGGGUAGCUGGUCUGAGAGGACGAUCAGCCACACUGGCACUGCGACACGGGCCAGACUCCUACGGGAGGCAGCAGUAAGGAAUAUUGCGCAAUGGGCGAAAGCCUGACGCAGCGACGCCGCGUGGGGGAUGAAGGUCUUCGGAUUGUAAACCCC
rnacentral:rRNA from 1 species